rnacentral:rRNA from 1 species
UGUGAAGUUACUUAAACAACCAGGAGGUUGGCUUAGAAGCAGCCAUCCUUUAAAGAAAGCGUAAUAGCUCACUGGUCUAGUGAUUUUGCGCGGAAAAUAUAACGGGGCUAAAGUAAGUACCGAAGCUGUAGACUUGCACACAACUUAGAUUAUUUAAGUUUAGAAUAUUAAGAAACUAAGUUAUAUGUUUUAGUUAUAUUUUUACUGAUUUUUAUAGGGUAAAGAUAGAAAUAAAACUUAGUAAAAUCAGUAAAAAUAUUCUUAGGCUAAAGUUAAGUAGUUUAAGUUGUGUGCAAGUGGUAGGAGAGCGUUCUAUUUGCGUCGAAGGUAUACCGGUAAGGAGUGCUGGAGCGAAUAGAAGUGAGCAUGCAGGCAUGAGUAGCGAUAAUUAAUGUGAGAAUCAUUAACGCCGUAAACCCAAGGUUUCCUACGCGAUGCUCGUCAUCGUAGGGUUAGUCGGGUCCUAAGUCGAGUCCGAAAGGGGUAGACGAUGGCAAAUUGGUUAAUAUUCCAAUACCAACAUUAGUGUGCGAUGGAAGGACGCUUAGGGCUAAGGGGGCUAGCGGAUGGAAGUGCUAGUCUAAGGUCGUAGGAGGUUAUACAGGCAAAUCCGUAUAACAAUACUCCGAGAACUGAAAGGCUUUUUGAAGUCUUCGGAUGGAUAGAAGAACCCCUGAUGCCGUCGAGCCAAGAAAAGUUUCUAAGUUUAGCUAAUGUUGCCCGUACCGUAAACCGACACAGGUGGGUGGGAUGAGUAUUCUAAGGCGCGUGGAAGAACUCUCUUUAAGGAACUCUGCAAAAUAGCACCGUAUCUUCGGUAUAAGGUGUGGUUAGCUUUGUAUUAGGAUUUACUCCGAAAGCAAGGAAACUUACAACAAAGAGUCCCUCCCGACUGUUUACCAAAAACACAGCACUCUGCUAACUCGUAAGAGGAUGUAUAGGGUGUGACGCCUGCCCGGUGCUCGAAGGUUAAUUGAUGGGGUUAGCAUUAGCGAAGCUCUUGAUCGAAGCCCGAGUAAACGGCGGCCGUAACUAUAACGGUCCUAAGGUAGCGAAAUUCCUUGUCGGUUAAAUACCGACCUGCAUGAAUGGCGUAACGAGAUGGGAGCUGUCUCAAAGAGGGAUCCAGUGAAAUUGUAGUGGAGGUGAAAAUUCCUCCUACCCGCGGCAAGACGGAAAGACCCCGUGGACCUUUACUACAGCUUGACACUGCUACUUGGAUAAGAAUGUGCAGGAUAGGUGGGAGGCUUUGAGUAUAUGACGCCAGUUGUAUAUGAGCCAUUGUUGAGAUACCACUCUUUCUUAUUUGGGUAGCUAACCAGCUUGAGUUAUCCUCAAGUGGGACAAUGUCUGGUGGGUAGUUUGACUGGGGCGGUCGCCUCCCAAAUAAUAACGGAGGCUUACAAAGGUUGGCUCAGAACGGUUGGAAAUCGUUCGUAGAGUAUAAAGGUAUAAGCCAGCUUAACUGCAAGACAUACAAGUCAAGCAGAGACGAAAGUCGGUCUUAGUGAUCCGGUGGUUCUGUGUGGAAGGGCCAUCGCUCAAAGGAUAAAAGGUACCCCGGGGAUAACAGGCUGAUCUCCCCCAAGAGCUCACAUCGACGGGGAGGUUUGGCACCUCGAUGUCGGCUCAUCGCAUCCUGGGGCUGGAGCAGGUCCCAAGGGUAUGGCUGUUCGCCAUUUAAAGCGGUACGCGAGCUGGGUUCAGAACGUCGUGAGACAGUUCGGUCCCUAUCUGCCGUGGGCGUAAGAAGAUUGAAGAGAUUUGACCCUAGUACGAGAGGACCGGGUUGAACAAACCACUGGUGUAGCUGUUGUUCUGCCAAGAGCAUCGCAGCGUAGCUAAGUUUGGAAAGGAUAAACGCUGAAAGCAUCUAAGCGUGAAGCCAACUCUAAGAUGAAUCUUCUCUAAGCUCUCUAGAAGACUACUAGUUUGAUAGGCUGGGUGUGUAAUGGAUGAAAGUCCUUUAGCUGACCAGUACUAAUAGAGCGUUUGGCUUAUCUUUAAUAAAGCAU